rnacentral:rRNA from 1 species
GACGAACGCUGGCGGCACGCCUAACACAUGCAAGUCGAACGAGAAGGUAGCUUCGGUUACUGGACAGUGGCGGACGGGUGAGUAACACGUGGGAACAUGCCUUUUGGUACGGAACAACCAUUGGAAACGAUGGCUAAUACCGUAUACGCCCUUUGGGGGAAAGAUUUAUCGCCGAAAGAUUGGCCCGCGCUAGAUUAGUUAGUUGGUAAGGUAAUGGCUUACCAAGGCUACGAUCUAUAGCUGGUUUGAGAGGAUGAUCAGCCACACUGGGACUGAGACACGGCCCAG